UACAGAGGGGGCAAGCGUUGUUCGGAAUUACUGGGCGUAAAGGGCGCGUAGGCGGCCUGCUAAGUCGAACGUGAAAUCCCCGGGCUCAACCCGGGAACUGCGUCCGAUACUGGCAGGCUUGAAUCCGGGAGAGGGAUGUGGAAUUCCAGGUGUAGCGGUGAAAUGCGUAGAUAUCUGGAGGAACACCGGUGGCGAAGGCGGCAUCCUGGACCUGUAUUGACGCUGAUGCGCGAAAGCCAGGGGAGCAAACGGG
rnacentral:rRNA from 1 species